GCCGAACUAGCUCAGUUGGUAGAGCAAUGCUUUCGUAAAGCAUGGGUCAUCGGUUCAAAUCCGAUGUUCGGCUCCA
rnacentral:tRNA from 1 species